rnacentral:rRNA from 1 species
AACGAACGCUGGCGGCAGGCCUAACACAUGCAAGUCGAGCGAGACCUUCGGGUCUAGCGGCGGACGGGUGAGUAACGCGUGGGAAUAUGCCCUUUGGUACGGAAUAGCCUCGGGAAACUGAGAGUAAUACCGUAUGUGCCCUUCGGGGGAAAGAUUUAUCGCCAAAGUAUUAGCCCGCGUUGGAUUAGGUAGUUGGUGGGGUAAUGGCCUACCAAGCCUACGAUCCAUAGCUGGUUUGAGAGGAUGAUCAGCCACACUGGGACUGAGACACAGCCCAGACUCCUACGGGAGGCAGCAGUGGGGAAUCUUAGACAAUGGGGGCAAGCCUGAUCUAGCCAUGCCGCGUGAGUGAUGAAGGCCUUAGGGUUGUAAAGCUCUUUCAGCUGGGAAGAUAAUAACGGUACCAGCAGAAGAAGCCCCGGCUAACUCCGUGCCAGCAGCCGCCGCCG